UACGUGGAGGGCAAGCGUUGUUCGGAAUUACUGGGCGUAAAGGGCGCGUAGGCGGCCUGUUAAGUCGAACGUGAGAUCCCCGGGCUCAACCCGGGAACUGCGUCCGAUACUGGCAGGCUUGAAUCCGGGAGAGGGAUGCGGAAUUCCAGGUGUAGCGGUGAAAUGCGUAGAUAUCUGGAGGAACACCGGUGGCGAAGGCGGCAUCCUGGACCGGUAUUGACGCUGAGGCGCGAAAGCCAGGGGAGCAAAGCGGG
rnacentral:rRNA from 1 species